rnacentral:rRNA from 1 species
GCCUACGGGGGGCAGCAGUAGGGAAUUUUCGUCAAUGGGCGCAAGCCUGAACGAGCAAUGCCGCGUGAACGAGGAAGGUCUUCGGAUCGUAAAGUUCUGUUGAAGGGGAAAAAGAGCGGAGAGAGGAAAUGGUCUCCGAUUGAUAUUACCCUUCGAGGAAGUCACGGCUAACUACGUGCCAGCAGCCGCGGUAAUACGUAGGUGGCGAGCGUUAUCCGGAAUGAUUGGGCGUAAAGGGUGCGUAGGCGGUUGUGCAAGUCUGAAGUGAAAGCCCGCGGCUC